GUCAGGCAGAUCUAGCCAGUUCUCUGUCUAAUGCUGUGCAAAUCGUUGGCAUGAGUGCUACCCUUCCUAAUUUGGAGCUUGUGGCUUCCUGGUUGAAUGCUGAACUCUACCAUACCGACUUUCGCCCUGUACCGCUUUUGGAGUCAGUAAAAGUUGGAAAUUCCAUAUAUGACUCUUCAAUGAAACUUGUGAGGGAAUUUGAGCCCAUGCUACAAGUGAAGGGAGAUGAGGACCAUGUUGUUAGUUUAUGUUAUGAGACGAUUCGUGAUAACCAUUCAGUAUUACUUUUUUGUCCAUCAAAGAAAUGGUGUGAGAAGCUGGCAGAUAUCAUUGCUCGAGAGUUUUAUAAUCUACAUCAUCAAGCUGAGGGAUUGGUGAAACCCUCUGAAUGCCCACCAGUAAUUCUGGAACAAAAAGAACUCCUGGAAGUGAUGGAUCAGUUAAGACGUUUGCCUUCAGGACUGGACUCUGUAUUACAGAAAACUGUACCAUGGGGAGUAGCAUUUCAUCAUGCAGAUUUCUUUUUAAGAAAUUGUGUGGGCUGGGCGUGGUGGCUCACUCCUGUAAUCCCAGCACUUUGGGAGGCCGAAGCAAGUGGAUCACCUGAGAUCAGGAGUUUAAGACCAGCCUGGCCAACAUGGCGAAACCCCAUCUCUACUAAAAAUACAAAAAUCAGCUGGGCGUUGUGGCACGCACCUGUAAUUCCAGCUUCUCAGGAGGCUGAGGCAGGGAGAAUUGCUUGAACCCAGGAGGCGGAGGUUACAGUGAGCCGAGAUCGUGCCACUGUACUCCAACCUGGGUGACAGAGCGAAAUUGUGUGAUAGAUUAAACAAGAGUAA
rnacentral:sRNA from 1 species